CCUACGGGGAGCAGCAGUGAGGAAUAUUGGUCAAUGGACGAGAGUCUGAACCAGCCAAGUAGCGUGAAGGAUGACUGCCCUAUGGGUUGUAAACUUCUUUUAUAUGGGAAUAAAACGUUCCACGUGUGGGAUUUUGUAUGUACCAUAUGAAUAAGGAUCGGCUAACUCCGUGCCAGCAGCCGCGGUAAUACGGAGGAUCCGAGCGUUAUCCGGAUUUAUUGGGUUGAAAGGGAGCGUAGGUGGAUUGUUAAGUCAGUUGUGAAAGUUUGCGGCUCAACCGUAAAAUUGCAGUUGAAACUGGCAGUCUUGAGUACAGUAGAGGUGGGCGGAAUUCGUGGUGUAGCGGUGAAAUGCUUAGAUAUCACGAAGAACUCCGAUUGCGAAGGCAGUUCACUGGACUGCAACUGACACUGAGGCUCGAAAGUGUGGGUAUCAAACAGGAUUAGAUACCCUUGUAGUC
rnacentral:rRNA from 1 species